rnacentral:rRNA from 1 species
ACGGCUCAGUAACACGUGGAUAACCUGCCCAAGGGUCUGGGAUAACCCCGGGAAACUGGGGAUAAUACCGGAUAGAUCACCUAUGCUGGAAGGGCUUGGUGGUUUAAAGGUAACGCCUUUGGAUGGGUCUGCGGCGGAUUAGGUUGGCGCCGGUGUAAUGUACCGGCGUGCCUGUAAUCCGUACGGGUUGUGGGAGCAAGAGCCCGGAGAUGGAUUCUGAGACACGAAUCCAGGCCCUACGGGGCGCAGCAGGAGCGUAAACUCUACAAUGCAGGAGACUGCGAUAGGGGGACAUCGAGUGGCAUCCACCUUGGGUGCCUGUCCAACCGUCUAAAAAACGGUUGUUAGCAAGGGCCGGGUAAGACCGGUGCCAGCCGCCGCGGUAAUACCGGCGGCUCGAGUGGUGGCCGAUAUUAUUGAGUCUAAAGGGUCCGUAGCCGGCUUUGCAAGUCCCCUGGGAAAUCCAGCGGCUUAACCGUUGGGCUUUCAUGGGAUACUACAUUGCUUGGGACUGGGAGAGGUAGGAGGUACUCGGGGGGUAGGGGUGAAAUCCUGUAAUCCUCCGGGGACCACCGGUGGCGAAGGCGUCCUACCAGAACAGGUCCGACGGUGAGGGACGAAAGCUAGGGGCACGAACCGGAUUAGAUACCCGGGUAGUCCUAGCCGUAAACGAUGCCCGCUAGGUGUCACGACAGUCGUGAAUUGUCGUGGUGCCGUAGGGAAGCCGCGAAGCGGGCCACUUGGGAAGUACGACCGCAAGGUUGAAACUUAAAGGAAUUGGCGGGGGAGCAC